rfam:Schistosoma margrebowiei strain Zambia genome assembly, scaffold: SMRZ_contig0009184
GUGUUGUUGACGAGUCUCAAAUAAAACGAAACGCGCGUCCUGGAU